CCUACGGGCGGCUGCAGUGGGGAAUAUUGGACAAUGGGGGGAACCCUGAUCCAGCCAUGCCGCGGGUGUGAAGAAGGCCCUCGGGUUGUAAAGCACUUUCAGUGAGGAAGAACGCCUGGUGGUUAAUACCCAUCAGGAAAGACAUCACUCACAGAAGAAGCACCGGCUAACUCCGUGCCAGCAGCCGCGGUAAUACGGAGGGUGCGAGCGUUAAUCGGAAUUACUGGGCGUAAAGCGCGCGUAGGUGGCUUGAUAAGCCGGUUGUGAAAGCCCCGGGCGCAACCUGGGAACGGCAUCCGGAACUGUCAAGCUAGAGUGCAGGAGAGGAAGGUAGAAUUCCCGGUGUAGCGGUGAAAUGCGUAGAGAUCGGGAGGAAUACCAGUGGCGAAGGCGGCCUUCUGGACUGACACUGACACUGAGGUGCGAAAGCGUGGGUAGCAAACAGGAUUAGAUACCCCUGUAGUC
rnacentral:rRNA from 1 species